rnacentral:rRNA from 1 species
AAGUCGAGCGCGAAAGGGGGCAACCCCGAGUAGAGCGGCGGACGGGUGAGUAACGCAUCGGAACGUACCCAGUAGUGGGGGACAACCUCGAGAAAUCGAGGCUAAUACCGCAUACGACCCACGGGUGAAAGCGGGGGACCGCAAGGCCUCGCGCUAUUGGAGCGGCCGAUGUCCGAUUAGCUAGUUGGCGGGGUAAGAGCCCACCAAGGCGACGAUCGGUAGCUGGUCUGAGAGGACGACCAGCCACACUGGGACUGAGACACGGCCCAGACUCCUACGGGAGGCAGCAGUGGGGAAUUUUGGACAAUGGGGGCAACCCUGAUCCAGCCAUGCCGCGUGCGGGAAGAAGGCCUUCGGGUUGUAAACCGCUUUCGGCCGGAACGAAAUCGCCCGGGUGAACAUCCCGGGUGGAUGACGGUACCGGAAGAAGAAGCACCGGCUAACUACGUGCCAGCAGCCGCGGUAAUACGUAGGGUGCGAGCGUUAAUCGGAAUUACUGGGCGUAAAGCGUGCGCAGGCGGUCUCGUAAGACAGGUGUGAAAUCCCCGGGCUCAACCUGGGAACUGCGCUUGUGACUGCGAGGCUGGAGUGCGGAAGA